rnacentral:rRNA from 1 species
GCAGACGGGUGAGUAACACGUGGAUAACCUACCUAUAAGACUGGGAUAACUUCGGGAAACCGGAGCUAAUACCGGAUAAUAUUUUGAACCGCAUGGUUCAAAAGUGAAAGACGGUCUUGCUGUCACUUAUAGAUGGAUCCGCGCUGCAUUAGCUAGUUGGUAAGGUAACGGCUUACCAAGGCAACGAUGCAUAGCCGACCUGAGAGGGUGAUCGGCCACACUGGAACUGAGACACGGUCCAGACUCCUACGGGAGGCAGCAGUAGGGAAUCUUCCGCAAUGGGCGAAAGCCUGACGGAGCAACGCCGCGUGAGUGAUGAAGGUCUUCGGAUCGUAAAACUCUGUUAUUAGGGAAGAACAUAUGUGUAAGUAACUGUGCACAUCUUGACGGUACCUAAUCAGAAAGCCACGGCUAACUACGUGCCAGCAGCCGCGGUAAUACGUAGGUGGCAAGCGUUAUCCGGAAUUAUUGGGCGUAAAGCGCGCGUAGGCGGUUUUUUAAGUCUGAUGUGAAAGCCCACGGCUCAACCGUGGAGGGUCAUUGGAAACUGGAAAACUUGAGUGCAGAAGAGGAAAGUGGAACUCCAUGUGUAGCGGUGAAAUGCGCAGAGA